rnacentral:tRNA from 1 species
GGGGGGGUCGCAUAGCGGUCUAGUGCGCCCGCCUGCUAAGCGGGUUGGGGUUGUAAAAGCCUCUCGAGGGUUCGAAUCCCUCCCCCUCCG